rnacentral:lncRNA from 1 species
AAUUCAAGAGGACACUGGUCCAUGGCUAUCUUUCUUUUCUUACUGUAUCUUGUAACUUCUGUGGUGCUUUAUCGAGAUUUACCAGAUGGCCCUGGAUUGAUUUGCCAAAGAUCCACCCAGGAAUCCUGACUCAUUAAAGAAGGGUGGAGAUUUUCUGAGCUAAGCGAGAGACCUUUCCUCAGAGGUCAUUUUCUCUUCGACUUCUUCUGAGGCAACUCCUGCAGCCAGCCCCCAAAGACAGAAUCAGAUAAUAGGAAUUCAAAAACCUAACUUAACUGUGAGCCAUGUUACAAGGUUCAAGACCUUCAGCAACAGCCAGUUUUACUAAGUUACUAAUAGUCAAGGAGACACAGGAAGAAGAUGGCCAUCUAAAAGUCAAAAGAAGAAGCCUGGAACAGAUUUUUCCCUCACAGUUC